UAGGGAAUAUUGCGCAAUGGAGGCAACUCUGACGCAGCAACGCCGCGUGGAUGAUGAAGCUCUUUGGAGUGUAAAGUCCUGUCGCCAGGGAAGAAACGAUGGAUGAGGAAAUGCAUUCGUCCUGACGGUACCUGGAGAGGAAGUUCCGGCUAACUCCGUGCCAGCAGCCGCGGUAACACGGGGGGAACGAGCGUUGUUCGGAUUUACUGGGCGUAAAGGGUGCGUAGGCGGGUUGGCAAGUCGGGUGUGAAAGCCCCGAGCUUAACUUGGGAAUUGCGCUCGAAACUACUUGGCUGGAGUGUGGCAGAGGAGGGUGGAAUUCCACGUGUAGCGGUGAAAUGCGUAGAGAUGUGGAGGAACACCGAUGGCGAAGGCAGCCCUCUGGGCCAACACUGACGCUCAUGCACGAAAGCGUGGGGAGCAAACAGGAUUAGAUACCCCUGUAGUCCCUGAGCGGGCUGGCAAGGCGCAU
rnacentral:rRNA from 1 species